CCCUUCAGACGUCCCAGAUCUCAGAGAACUCACAGAACUCCGGGCUCACUCAGAACUUUGCUCCUCACAAAGGCUGUGCUAAAAAGAGGAAAAACGAAAGUGGUGCUCAGAACUCUACUGAAUGGGAACAAGGGCUCUGUUUGGGAAAAGAGUUCAUCUCAUCCUCCAUGCAUGUAUUUUUUGUACGCAAUGCUGCAUUUCAACUUAUACCUUUCUCUGAAGAGCCCCAUUGUUGGUCCCUACACAGGUUCCAGCCCCUGGGCAGAGGAACAGGAUGGUGGCAGAGCAAUGGCCUGGGAGGUUUAAUUUUUUUUUCUCCUGGAUGCUGAAUGCAGCGGCCCUUUUGUGAACAGCCAUUGUUUACAUUCUCCCUAACAAAAGUUGGGAUUUCCUCUGAUGCCAGCAGCCUCGUCACCGAUCUGUACAGCCAGCCAGAUGCUCAGAAAAGAUUUUUAAUAGUGGCUGAAUCAAUGUGAGCAUGCUCAGUGCUUGCAGCAGCAGCCUCCUGAAAGCCAAAGGCGCUGGGACAGGAGGGGACUCCUCGUCACUGCUGAGCAAUCUUGCGUACAGAGGCCAAGCAGCCAGCACAGCUCCCUGCAGACCUCGGGCCAGGGGCUGUCUGCACGUCUUCAAAGCAUCUGCUGACAUCCCUCUGCUCAGAGGAGCCCCUAGUGUAUGGGGUGAGAUCUUUUCCACGGGGAUUGCAGACACCAGGUUCCCAACAUUUGGAUUUUGACCAUAAAAUCGAAAGGUUUCUCAAAACCUGUUGCUGAAGUGCCUAGGGAGCCAUCUGCCUCCUUAGCAGUUUUCUUUAAGAAUUUCUUCCCAUCUCAGAAGACCAAAUCUGACAGCACUGCGCCCUGCCUUGCCAUUGGAGAUACUGUGGAGUCUCCUUCUCUGCAGAUAUUCAAAACCCACCUGAACGCUUUGCUGUGUGACCUACUGCAGGGAACCUGCUUUAGCAGGGGAGCUGGAGCAGGUGAUCCCCAGAGGUCCCUUCCAACCCCUACAGUUCUGUGAUUCUGUGCCACCGGCUGUGCAACGGCGAUGCAAUUUGGAGCUAUCUGCAUCCAUCCCAGGGGACAAAGUGAAGAUUUUUCUCUCCCUCUCUCCAUUAUGUGCUCUGAGGAACACAGUGACAACGACACAAACUUGAUGCAACAUUGAUGAAAACUCUCCUGGCAUCAUUAAAAAAAAUAAAUGAACGUCACCAUAGACCGCAAAGGUUUCUGAAAGUUUCUCUUUGUAGCGCAUCGCUUCCCUCUUGCACCUAAAACUGUCCAGUAGCAAUUCAACUUAAAAUCAUUAAAAACGUCAAAGCUCCUGAAUCAUUUCCAAUGGAAAUAGGUGGACAACAACCCGAUGGUAAAGCUGCAUGCAGUCACCAUAGCGACGGGGCUUCUGAAAGGAUGCAGAGAGCAUCGCCAACGUCCACAGCGUGUGGAGGAGCACAAGCGGCCGAAAUGGGGGCUGGGGCAGGCAAGGAUUUGAUGAUUAAGGAUUUGGAGCAUCUCCCAUACGAGAAAAGGCUGAGAGACCUGGGACUGCUCAGUCUGGAGAAGGGAAGGCCGAGAGAGGAUCUCAUCACUGUUUAUAAAUAUUUGAAGCGCGGGAGCCAAGUCAAUGGGAGCAGACUCAUUUCAGUGGUGUGCAGCAGUAGAACAAGGGGAGAAACUGCAAUACAAGAAGUUCCUCUGUAGCACAAGAAGGAACUUUUUCAGUCACUGAAGGAGCACUGGAAAAGGCUGCCCAAAAAGGCCGUGGAGUCUCCUUCUCUGGAGAUAUCCAGGACCCAUCUGGACACCGAGCUUUGUGACCUGCUGUAGUACCUGCUUUAGCAGGAGGGUCAGUCUCAGUGUUAUUUCUAGAGAUCCCUUCCAAAACCUGCAAUUCUGAGAUUCUGUGACCACUUUGCUGCACUCUCCACCAAAAGACGAACUGGGGGGGACCUGGGGACUGCAGAUCCCCACGGGGGACCCUCUAGAGAUGUCUGCUGCAUGUUGUCCAGGCUGCAUGUUGUCCAGGCUGGGGAAGAGACCUCAUCACCAAAAUGGAUCUUUGUCAUUUUGAAUUUCAACUUGAGUGAGCCCAGAAGAACAUUAAAAAAUAUAUUUAAAAAUGAGCAGAAGCCAGGAUGAACCAGUUUGACACCACAGCCCCCCCCCCUUCCUCCCCCUUAAACACUCUGGAGGCGUUCAAGGCCAGGUUGGAUGGUGCUCUGGGCAGCCUGACCUGGUGAGUGGAAGCCCCAUGGCAGGGGGUUGAAAGUGGGUGGGAUUUGAGGUCCCUUCUAACGCAAAGCAUUCUGUGAUUCUAUGAUUAAAAAUAAAGGGCUUUGGACUCCUCUGGAUCUAUCACAGGACACAGCUCCAAGAGGACUUCAUCUCAUUCCGAAAGAAGAGACCACAGAGAAGUAUUGCUUUGCUACUCAGCGAAGAGCAAAUACUACUGAUAAAUAAUGUUGAUGAAGUCAGAGUGCUUAAUACUUUUUCUAUUAUUGAUCUUCAGUGGAAAUAUCGCUGCCAAGCAGGCAGUUAACAGAGAAAGUGAGAUGUAAGCCCAGAGUAAAAAAUUGGCUUGAGGGCACCUGGAUGAGCAAAACGUUCUUAGAUUCACUGUGUGGAUGUGGAGUCUUCAGUACAGGAGAUACAUGGACCUAUUGGAGCACAUCUAGAAGAGAGCCACAGAAAUGAUUCUGGGGGUGAAAAAAACAGCCUUGAGGACAAGCUGAGGAAGAGAAGGCUCUGGGGAGACCUGAGAGUGGCCUUUCAGUAUCUAAAGGGGGGCUGCGAAAAAUAAGGGGACAGACACUUUAGCAGAGUCUGUUGGGAAAGGAUGGGGGAAGAUGGUUUUGAACUAAAAGAAGGGAGAUUUAGACUGGAUAUGAGGAAAAAGGUUUUUAUGAUAAGGAUGGUGAGGCAGUGGCACAGGUUGCCCAGAGAGGUGGUGGAUCCCCAUCCCUGGAGACAGCCAAGGUCAAUCUGGAGGGGCUCUGAGCACCCUGAUGGAGCUGUGGGUGUCCCUGUUCAUUGCAGGGGAGUUGGACUGGAUGGCCUUUAAGGGUCUCUUCCAACUCAAGGAAUUCUAUGAUUCUACAAUUCUAUGAAUUUCAUCCAGAAACGAUGGCUAUUAUCUCAAGUUAUCUUCUGGUGGUUAAUUUGGGGAAUUUGUGGCAGAUAUGUCGGAGCACCCAAAGAUUAAAAAAGGGCAAAGGAAUUAAAAACACAUUAAACAGCAGAGAAGAGGAGACAAGAGAAUUUGCAGGCCAGUCAGCUCAACUUCAACUCUCAGAAAAAAAAAAUCUGGAACAAAUAAUCUGCUCAUUUGUAAAUUUCUAGGAGAUAGCAACAAGAGAAGCAGGCAGCUUGGGCUUGUCAACAGUGAGCCCUGCCAACCCAACUGAACUGCCUUCCAAGAGAGAAGAGCAGGCUCUGUGGAUGAAGGAGAAGCUCCAGAUGUGGCACAGCUCAGUGGCAGCAAGGCUUCCACAUGGUCUCAAGUGAUGCUCCCCUACACCAGGCAGGGAUACUCAUUGGAUGAAACCAGGUGGCAAAACCCUGCAUUAUUUCAGUCUGUAGCAGUGGUUUACAAUCAACAUGAAAGGUUGAAGUGGGUGAGGAUCAGUCAGGACCAGCUCAGGUGCGUGACCAUGCACUGGUUUCACAUAAAUCAGCUGCUUUCUGGAAGAAAGAUGAGGUUUGUUAAAGUCACAGAUGACCCAAAGCUGUGUCAGGCUACAAGUAACACAGAUAACUGUCCCGAAAAUAAUACAAAAGAUGUUUCAUACAAUAAAAUAAGACAUUCAAAUUUCAGGUGUACUUACUAAUAACAUCUUGGAAAGACUGACUAUACAUAUAGAUGAGAUCAGUCUAAAUCCUUAUAGUUACAUAUCUCCCUAAAUCAGGAAAUUGCCUUCUACUAGAGCACUGUGGAGAGCUCGCCUCCUGAUUUGUGCUGUCUCUGCAAAAGGGGAACCAAGACAUCUUUUAUUUUACACUUUCAUUUCUUAUUUUGAAGGACUCUAUUUUGCCUCAGGUGCACUAUAACUCACAUCAGUGACAAAGAAAUGUGAAAAGACUUCACUGCAUUACCCGCAAGCCUGGAGCUUCCAUCAGCUGGGAAUUCAAAGACACUCCGAGCUUUGUGCUGGCUGUUGUGGCAAGAAAACAGGCACAGAGCAGACUAGGGCUGAUCAUCAGAAAACUCUAUUGGUCAAACACAAGUGUUCACAACUGGUCCACUAACCACACAGGCUGACCUUCAUAGAAAUCAUACCUAUUCAGAUGAUAACAUGGAAAGCACGGUUCUUGGUAUCAUGUGUUCUCCAAAAUAACACCACCAGAACCAUGUCUCUGUCUUGCACUGGGUAACUCAUGCAGGAAGACAAACUGAAUUUGAGCAAAGGUUCUCACCACAGUGUGCAAGACUGCUCAGGGACCAUGCCAGACGCCAUGUUGAGCACCCAGAGGAAGAGUCCGGUGCUGCAUUCAACACAACAAAGUUCAGAAAUGAGUUUUAGCUUUAAGGAAGAAGUGCUAAAGGAAAAUUACUGUGGAGAUAAGUAUCACCUUAUGUCCCAAAAGAGAGCUAAAACAAGGUUACUGCAGCUUGGCAAAGAAUCCAAGCAGGAGUGGAGGCCACAUUUCCCCAAGACCUUCACCUUCCACAACAUGCAUUCUUCAUUGGUAGAGUCACAGCAUCUGCUGGAAAGCUCACUGGAAUUUCAGCCUAGAAGGAGUCACUCUCACCCUCAGAGUGUCCUUAGGUGACAUUAAAUCUUAAGUGAUAUCUUCAAUGGCAUCUUUGGAAAUCACUUGGAUAGACUAAUAUAUAAUUCGAUGACCAAAUCGUUUGAAACUAUUGAUUUAUACAUUCAAUCUUAAUCAUGAUCUUGGUGUGAUCAUCUCAUUGGUCUGCUGUCAUUUAGUUCAGUAAAACUAAUGAAUUAGUUUAGCAAUACCCUUGCUCAGGUGUGCCUCCAUUCGCUGACUCUUACUAAUUAAAUCUGCAAGGAAUACGCAAAGCAGGUUUACCCUACUGAACAGAGGUCACAAACCAGAGGGUAGCAGCAGCUUUGGGUAGGUCCCACACAAGCAGAUCGGCUCUGCAUCUCCCUAGUCAAUAGCCCAUGCACCCUGCGAAUGAAGCCAUCUCCCAGCAGUGUUGGUCACUCAAAGACCACCCACUGCAUGAGUGGUAUGAAUCAUAGAAUCAUAAAACCAUUAAGGUUGGAAAAGACUUUGAAAAUCACCUAGUGCAACCAUCAACCCACCCUCACCAUGCUCACUGACCCUCAGUGCCACAUCCUCACGGUUCUGGAACAUCUCCAGGGACCUCCCUGGGCAGAUGGUUCCAGUGCAGCACCUUUCUUUCUGAAAAGAAAUUUUUCCUAAUAUCCAACCUGGCACAACUUGAGGCCAUUCCAUCUCAUCCUAUUGCUGAUACCUGGAAGAAGAGGCCAACCCCCACCUUGCCACAACCUCCUUUCAGGUUAUUGUGGAGAGAAAUAAGGUCUUCCUGAGCUCCUCUUCUCCAGCCUGAACAACCCCAGCUCCCUCAGCCGUUCCCCAUCAGAGCUGUGCUCCAGACCCCUCACAGCUCCGCCGCCCUUCUCUGGACACACUCCAGGGCCUCCAUGUCUUUCUUGCAGUGAGGGGCCCAGAACUGAACACAGCACUCGAGGUGCAGCCUCACCAGAGCUGAGUACAGAGAGAUGGUCACCUUCCUGCUCCUGCUGGCUGCACUAUUUCUGAUACAAGCCAGGAUGCCAUUGGCCUUCUUGGCCACCUGGGCACACUGCUGGCUCAUGUUUGCUGGCUGUCAGCUAGCACCCCCAGAUCCUUUUCCUCCACGCAUCUUUCCAGCCACUCUGCCCCAGGUCUGUAAUGAUGCAUGGGGAUUUUGUAACAGAAAUGCAGGAUCGAGGUCAGCUGCCCUGGACCUAUACACCUACAGCAGAGGACAUCACACCAUGUAUGAGUACAGGAUGUGGCCUUCCUGACCAUCCAGUUAGUUAAUCGUGUUUGUUACAGACACUGAUAUCUGUUAGCUUUGUGACAAGGCCAGAAUGUAUUGCCUGAACUUUGUGCUGGCUUAAAAAAUUAUAAACAAGCCAUUUUUUUAAUUCUUAUUUUUACUGGGAAAGCUGUUACAGGCCUGGUUUGUGGCCAAUUUCAGUCAGUGGCAGGCUUUAAUUGGGUUUUGUUUCCAGCAGCAGCCUCUUUUAAAAUCAGCCCUCUGCUCGUAAGCAGGACUGGGCCCUGUCAGACUUCAGUCACUCCAUCCUAGGCCAGGCUUUGGGACAGGGGAUGAUGGAUUACUGUCAGAGCAGGCAUGUGAGCGCUGGUCGCCUCAGCAUGGGCUGUUUGCUCCACAUUGGAAAGAAGGGAGAAAUACAGCCCUGGGGAGGGGGGGUUUGGUGGCCGGGCCAACUGCCAGCCUCCAUUUCCAGAUAGGGAGGAAGGGCUCAAGCCUUUUUAGGCAUUUUCUUGGACUUCCUCUCCAUCGUUUAAUUAAAACACCCAGAAAAGAGCUAUGCACCCUUCAUUCCAUGCCUCAGCCCUUGCCUUGGCCCUGUGAAUGGGGAUGGGCCCAGUGCAGGCCAUGUCCCAACAGACCUGGCACCCACCUCGGCCAAAAUAAGUCACGAAGGUUUUUCUUGCAAGGGAGUAAAUGUGCAGUGAUGACUCAGGCACAGCCACCAAGCCCCAGUCUCUUUCAUGGGGCCCACACCCUUGUGCCAAGCAUUUACUCCUUGCUUCCAUCGUGUGAGCUGGUGAAAGGCUCAUCUGGACUUUCCAACAUUUUAUGACGUCUGUACAUCUCCCACUUUGCAGUUUUUCUUCCUUAGAGCUGGUUCUUGAACAGCAAAAUAUUUGCAAUUGUGUAAGUAUUGAGAAUAAAGUAACAACACCUGGAGGCAUUCAAGGCCAGGCUGGAUGGAGCCUUGGGCUACCUGAUCUGGUGCUUCAUCUGCCCACGGCAGGGGGUUGGAACCAGAUGAUCUUUGAGGUCCCUUUCAACUCAAGCCAUUCUAUGAUUCUGUGAUUUAACAUCAAACUUCAAAUCACUUUUCUGAUCACCAGGGAAAGCCUGCUACGUCCCCCCAGUGUCAUCUGUAUGUUUCUUCCGCUAUAACAGAAGUAAAACAAAGCACUUCAUGUCUGCGUGAUGAAAACAACAUUAAAAAGUUCUCUAAAAUUUUGCAGUGGGACAGUAUUUAGGGCUAUAACACCAUCAGAGUCUGAUCUCCAUGGCCCCUUGUACAAGGCAGUUGGAGGAUGCUAACAACUUGGCCUCAUGACAGCAUAAAGUCCAAGGCCACCUAACGUCAGCAUCACUUGAUAGAAGAGAAUGAGAGAAGAAAAACCUCAUGGAUUUUGCAACGUGAAGAUUCAUGAUGGACCUUCUGGGAAGAGAAGUGAUAAAGCCAAAUGCAUUAGGAAGUACUUCAGGAUAAAUCAGCUGCUGCUGUAAAUGUAUUCAUUUAAAUGCAAUUUCAUUCAGAAGACAGAAGAGAGGUCACAGAGAAACAGUGGCACCGACGUUCCUGUGUAACGAUCCCAAUGUGCUUUAUGUAAGAGGGGAAGCAUCACCUCCCUGCUGAAGGGAAGAGCUGAGCUUCGGGAGUGAAAGAUGGUGAUUUGCCAACACUGGGACAGCAGGCGAGUCUCCUGGUGCUAUUCCACACUUGUGCUUUUGACGUGGAACAGAAUAUGAAAACAAUGCAUAACGAUAAAUGCAUUUCAGAGUGUGAGAUCAGCUUUAAAUCACCAGAUUUCAAGCAGUGGUGUUUCCUACACAGAGUCCACCUCUGCCCCUCUGCUAAACCCAGCAGUCUACUCUGCACUUUUUGCUCUUUCAAAGGGACACUGUAUGGCAUGUUUGUUAGGACGAUAAUGCUGCAUUUGCUAAUGAAAUUAAGUGUUUUGGAGAAGUUCUUUUAAGCAAAACCAUGUGUUCCGGGGAGGAAACAUUCUUCUGGUAAACAGCUGAGCCCUUAACAUUUAGCAACAUAACUCUGUUUGCAGCUAUUGAAAGCUGUGUGACUAAGGAAGCCUGCAUUUCUGGGGCCGAGGACUGCAAGCAUUUUGCUUGUUGUCAGCCAGCCAGGCGUUUCUUUUAUGUAUAAGCUAGCUGCAAGAACCAGCUAUUGACUGGUUGCUUCUUAUGGUUUUAAUAAAAUUUGUCUCGUAUCAAAAUGUUGCUGGGUUUCAACAUUGACACCGUGCUGAGCAGCGCUCUCUGCUCAGGCACAGCUGGGUCCUGCUUUCCAGAAAUAUCACUGUGCCCUGGCAUUGCUUGCAAAGAUUGAAG
ensembl:lncRNA